AGGGACACUGUUGAAGUAAACCGAUUGCGUCUAGGUAGCUUUCAAGGUCAAAAAAGCGUUUCCAACAGAGAAUACGAAGCAUAAAAAUGUCUGAUUUUAGUUCUGAUUCGGAUGAUAGUCAAAAUGACUCGGAAUGGAACUUUAUCCCGGUGUAUACGAGUUUCCAAUCGCAUCGAGGAUGAAAACGAACGGGCUACAUCGGCCUAAUGUCGACAGGAAGACUGAUGUGGACCUCUACUCUUAUAUUGACGAGCCACUGGAAGACGCAUAAUGGCUGAAACUGUUCGAAAAGGAGGAUAAGAAACGAAAAGAAAAGCAAGAAGAUCUUCGUAAAAGACUGAAAGGAAUCAGGAUAGUCGAGUCUUGAUUCCUUCGAAGCGUUGCCUACAGGGAAUUUACCUUUCUGAUCCAUGGUUAUCUAGGUAACAAAAGAGUACCAAUGCCAUCAUUUGUUUACCAUAAAUUCGAGAAACAUUUGUUGUGACAAAGAUGAACAGUUCACAGGAUAUGAGAAUAACAUUUAAAACAAAUGUACAUGUGAAAUUAUUUUUACUUGCUCCAAAUAAUAUUAUUUUUUGUAACGAAUGUUAAAAUAUAUUUGUCCUUUUUAUUACCACACUGUAAUUUGUGAGGGCUGAUAUUAUUCUGCCAGUCAAACCCUUGUUUACUACACAGGUUGCAAUACAGCAGUAGAAUGCAUUCAUUACAUUCAAACAUUUUGUAAGAAAUUGCAUCAAUAUUAAUCAAUAGAAAACAAAAUGAAUGCAAUCCAUCUUCGCUUAAACUACAAGCAUUACUUUUUGCCUAUGUGGUAGUGUUUAUGUACUUCAUCACCAUCUACUUUUUACAUAUUUUCUAUAAGUCUAAUUAGUUGAUGAUUAAUAUGUGUAAAUACAAUAUAUAUAUUUUAUUCACUGUUUGCGGCUCUGAUUCUUUCAGCUCUGAUGCGUUCACACUCAGCUUUAUUGUGGCCUUUCAUACGCUUAUCACAGUGUGAACACACAGGCUUUGCUCUUGGCUGUUUGUUAGCUCUUUGUGUAUUCACAAGUUGUGCUUGUAUUUCUUCAGCUGAAAAAAAUGAUCAACAUAAAAUAUUUAUGACAAUAAAAGUACAUAAUUACAAAA